rnacentral:misc_RNA from 1 species
GCCAUUUUGUAAGUGUCCGUCGUAGUCAGUUUUCUCGGUAUAGUGAAAAAUAGUUUAUUCGCAUGGUUUUGUGUACGAUUAAAAGAUAAGACACUUUUUAAACUUAAUUUAACGUCUCGUACGUUAAUUUCACAAACCACAAGUAUGGAGGACAAGGCGGCGUUAAAGGAAUUGGAUCAAUGGAUAGAGCAGCUAAACGAAUGCAAGCAAUUGACAGAAAACCAAGUCAAAACGUUAUGCGACAAGGCUAAGGAGAUUCUGACUAAGGAAUCGAACGUCCAGGAGGUAAAAUGCCCCGUGACCGUAUGCGGCGACGUUCACGGGCAGUUCCACGACCUGAUGGAACUGUUCCGCAUCGGAGGGCGGUCUCCCGACACCAACUACCUGUUCAUGGGGGACUACGUCGACCGUGGAUACUACAGCGUGGAGACUGUCACAUUGCUGGUUGCGCUUAAGGUCCGCUACCGGGAGAGAAUAACGAUCCUGCGCGGCAACCACGAGUCGCGCCAGAUCACGCAAGUGUACGGCUUCUACGACGAGUGCCUGCGCAAGUACGGCAACGCCUCCGUGUGGAAGCACUUCACCGACCUCUUCGACUUCCUGCCCCUCACCGCGCUCGUCGACGGACAGAUCUUCUGCUUACACGGAGGCCUCAGCCCCUCCAUCGACACCCUGGACCACAUCCGAGCGCUGGACCGCUUGCAGGAGGUGCCGCACGACGGGCCCAUGUGCGACCUGCUCUGGAGCGACCCCGACGACAGAGGCGGAUGGGGCAUAUCGCCUCGAGGCGCCGGCUACACGUUCGGGCAAGACAUCUCGGAGACCUUCAACCACAGCAACGGCCUGACGCUGGUCUCGCGCGCCCACCAGCUCGUCAUGGAGGGCUACAACUGGUGCCACGAACGGAACGUCGUCACUAUCUUCUCAGCGCCCAACUACUGCUAUAGGUGCGGUAACCAAGCCGCCAUUAUGGAAUUGGAUGAUGCGCUUAAGUACUCAUUCCUUCAGUUCGACCCGGCCCCGCGGCGCGGCGAACCUCACGUCACACGGCGAACGCCAGAUUACUUCAUGUAGGCUGCACCGGAGGCGCACAUGAAGCAGUCGGGCGUCGGCGUCGGCGGGGGUGGUGUCGGCGCGGUGAAGCGAGCCCGCGCAGGCGCACGCGCACGCGCACCGGCGCAGCGCGCGCGCGUGCCCCGCGCCGCGCGCCGCCUGCUCGGGCUGGCGCGCGUCGCCUCCUGGCUCGCCUCCGUCUGACACGCACACACACACCCGGGAACACACACUCCGCUCUGCACCCGUAAGCGUUGCGCUCACGCCUUAAAUACACUUGAUUAUUUUACUUACGUAACUACGGACACAGAUAUUUGCUAGAGGUGACGAUAUCCGACUCCAUCUGUAGUACGACCCGGUAAAGAAUAGUACGCAUAUUAAAAAAAUGCCAACAUCGUAUUGUCAUCGCGUCUCUUUUACACUCGUUACACUGCGGUAUCCUACUUUCGUAAUUAAAUUCACAAGUGUAUUUCGGGGCCAAACGUUAGCGCACGGUUCGCGGCCUGUAACUUAGCAUCACACGUUUGAUAUCGCUCGGGAAAGUGAAACGUUUCGCUGCGGAAAUUUAGAUUAAUAUACGUAGCAGUAAUUAUAUGUUUUUUUUUACUGUUAAGUGUUAUGCGAUAUUUCUAAUGUGGCUCGGUUCACUUUUUCGGCGAUACGAUAUUAAACAUCUACCUAUGAAAAUUAUAUGUAAUCACUAAUGAAACGUCGGCAUUUAAAAUUGUUUAAAAAGUUACGCAUGCGUCAAAUGGAGAUACUAAAUUACAAUUAUUUGGACGAGUGUCGCCCGUUCAGUUUACCUCUCGUGUCCGCUAUUAAAUUACACGUGGUCCGGUUUCCUCGCGUGUCUCGCCUCUAACUUGCCAGUGGAAACGUGCGCCACAUUAAAUAACGUAUCUUGUAUAAUUUGAAUUUUCCCGAUUCUAGUAUUCCAUUUGGCGCUACGAUAUACGUCGACGCGCCCCGCUAGUCGGUUCGGUUCAGUGCCGUGUGAGUUCCCGCCGUCCGCGUGCGCGUGCAGCUCCGCGUCUCGCGCGCGUCACCGAGCUGUCCACGCGGCUGCUCUAGUGACGGCCACGUGCCGGUGAGCAGACGCGGUGCACGUGCGGAGACGUGGUCGGCGCCGGCGCGGGCUCCGCGAGCGCGACGUGAGCGUGUCGCUCGCGUCACCGAGCUGUCCACGCGGCUGCUCUAGUGACGGCCACGUGCCGGUGAGCAGACGCGGUGCACGUGCGGAGACGUGGUCGGCGCCGGCGCGGGCUCCGCGAGCGCGACGUGAGCGUGUCGCUCGCGCUGCCGACUCGCGGCGCGCAGUAGGUAGUGGCAUACGUCCUGUGCUUGUGUCCGAUUAUUCGGCGUUCGCCCCGCGGCCGCGCGGCUCUGCUGGUAUGUUCAUUAUAACCUGUCCGGACCUACUGUAUGUACACUUAUGUAUCAGACACUUAGAGCUCAUUAAACAGCGUGCAUUUGCUA